AGUGAACGCUGGCGGUAGGCCUAACACAUGCAAGUCGAACGGCAGCACAGUAAGAGCUUGCUCUUACGGGUGGCGAGUGGCGGACGGGUGAGGAAUACAUCGGAAUCUACUUUUUCGUGGGGGAUAACGUAGGGAAACUUACGCUAAUACCGCAUACGACCUACGGGUGAAAGCAGGGGAUCUUCGGACCUUGCGCGAUUGAAUGAGCCGAUGUCGGAUUAGCUAGUUGGCGGGGUAAAGGCCCACCAAGGCGACGAUCCGUAGCUGGUCUGAGAGGAUGGUCAGCCACACUGGAACUGAGACACGGUCCAGACUCCUACGGGAGGCAGCAGUGGGGAAUAUUGGACAAUGGGCGCAAGCCUGAUCCAGCCAUACCGCGUGGGUGAAGAAGGCCUUCGGGUUGUAAAGCCCUUUUGUUGGGAAAGAAAAGCAGCGGGUUAAUACCCCGCUGUUCUGACGGUACCCAAAGAAUAAGCACCGGCUAACUUCGUG
rnacentral:rRNA from 1 species